rnacentral:lncRNA from 1 species
AGAGAAAGGAGAGAGAGAACGCAGAGGGAGGGAGGCAGGGAGGGAGACCAAACCCCCGCUUUACUGCGUUGAAAGCUUCUGAAUUUCAAGCAGAAAGUAGAAGGAGCUCCAAAGGCAGUGAGCGUCUUUCCUUGGGCUGCGUGUGCCGAGCGUAGACAAUGAAAAUCUUCAUCCCCCUCCCCCAUUCUACUAGGCUACAAGAUUCUUGUUUUCGUUCCUUCUCACCGGUGGAAGAUGUGUAAAAUCAAAGAUGUAGAGGUGUGUAGUGAUUUUUUUAAAAGCCAACUAACCACCGCACGGACUGCGACGCGGAUUACCCGAGCGCACGCCGGCUGGGCGCAUUCUGGGGUCUCUGCGCAAGACCAGCUCUCAGCUCUCUCUCCUUUCCUCGGACUCUGGAGCGGGAGCGGGCCUUUCCCUCGGGUCGACCACGCCGUAGGGGACGCCGUGAAAAGAGCCGUCGCGCCCGCUGCCUCCUGCCCGCUGCGCAGAGGGCUCCGCCCGUAGAGGUCAACUUCCCUCACCCUUUUCUCUCUCCUGCUUGCCCUCCCUCCGCCCGGCCCAGGCGCUUCCAGCCCCAGACUGUGGCCACUGGCUGAGGAGUGCGAGUCGGCUGCGCUGCCCUGAGCCUAAUCCCUCUUCCGGGCCCAGACCCGAGGUCCGCGCUCCUGGGCAGUGGGGAAGCUUUAGUGAGCAGGCUUUUCUCUCCGCAGCAAACUUGUAGCCAGACCAGAUGGGCCGCCCAGCUCUCUCGGGACUAGGCAGGUGCGGAUGAGUUAAUUUUUCCGCAUUACAAAGAAAGAUGACCCAGCCCGCCCUUGGACUCUCUUUUCCCAAAAUCUCCCAACCAAACCCGCGGUAACGUUAUCAAAGGACACAGAGCCCAGGCAUAUCUGUGUGUUUAUCUUACAGGCACACACGCAUGGUUUUCUCUUUUAUAUGCUAGAUUUCAUCCCUGACAGCAGAAAAUGAUUGGCAAUGGUUAUGACGGAGAACAUGCAAUAGCGUGGUCCUUAAAAACCUGCCAUUCCUUACAAGUGCCUUAGAAAGGAUUCAGGGCGAACCAACUGGGUUAAUUGCAUUCAGUAAAAUAACACGAUUAC